GUGGCCAGGAGGCUGAAGCGGAGAGGAGGGAGGCAGAGGGGAUGCCUCUGCACAGGGCCUUGCAGACCACUUCAAACCUUGGCCUCCAUUCUAACAAGGAAACUUAAAAAGAAAAAAAAAUUGUUUUAUGUAUAUGGGUGUUUUGCUUGCACUUGUGCCUGCACAUCACAUGUGUGCCUGGUGCCUUCAGGGGCCCACAAGAGGACAUCAGAGCCCCUAGAACUGGAGUUAUAGACAAUUGUCAGCUGCCAUGUGGGUGCCAGGGAUUGAACCCCAGUGCCCUGAGCUGUGUUUUCUGCUCUGACAAAGAAUCUUUCAAAGCAGAAGAGGACAGAAAUCGAGCCUGUGUUUGCUAAGUUUUUUUUCAGGCUGAGUAAACCAAGUCGGUGUGGAAGGAAAGCAGCUGUGUAGCAGGCCUGGGAUGGAGUCUUGGACAAGGGCAAGAGUGGUGGAGUGUGACGCCAUCGCAUUCUGAGUGUAUUUUGAAGGUAGAGCUGGUGAAAGGUUUCUGAUGAAUUCUGAUAGAAGGAGGAGAAAAAGAGGAGCCAGGAUUUGCAGCCUGAGCAGCGAGAAGAAGCUGCGAGCUAAGUGCUAGAGAUCAAGCUCAGGGCCUCACACAAGUCAGACAAGCGUCUUAUACCAAACUGUAUCCCUGGCUCCCAACAGCCCCACAUCUAAGAGAAGUGACUGAGGCAUGGAGCCGUCAAAUAACUUCCUAGCUACUGAGUGGAAGAGCCAGGAAGUUGAAUCCAGUUGGAUCUUCUCCUCACACCCUGUGCCGCCGUUCUGCCUCUCUCACAGCCCUGGCUGUCCUGGAACUUGCCCUGUGCACCAGGCUGGACUAGAACUCACAGAGAUCCACCUGCCUCUGCCUUCCAAAUGCUGGUAUUAAAGGUGUGUGCCGCAAGAGUCGUUUUCAGUCUGACCCUGUUGAGAAAUAUUUCCUGAAAGCUUCGAGGCGCUGGAUGCUUUCUCGAUCUUCGCUUGUAGUAUGGAGCUCUAGCCUCCAGGAGAAAGAACAGAAAACCUAAAAGCUUUGCUCCUGCUGGGAAGUGGUAUGGUAAGGGAUCUAGACUCGCCGAACCCUACAGAAGCUGAGAACGAAACGGACACCAUGAUAAAGGACCAAUCUCCCUGAUCACCAACCAGUACCAUGCUCUUACUCUAAAACCCUGGCAAAAAAAAAAAAAAAAAAAUUAAACUUGCCACUUGACGGCAGCCUAGAUUUUUCAGUCAUUUGUAUCCUUCAGCUUGUCUGUCCGCUUUAUGCCUUUCCAUUUAUCACACUGACACUAACACAACGGAGUCCCGUUGAUAACUUUAGUAAAACCAGAACCGGCUUCCUCAAUUCUCUAAACUUUUGACUAACUCAACUGUGUUCUUUCUUUUUUCUUUUAUUUUCUAAGCAAAGUCGCGUGUAUCCCAGGUUAGUCUUGAAUUUUCUGUGUAGCCCAGGAUUACCUAGAGUUCCUCCUCUACGCGCCUCCAACACGUGAAGAAUGACAGGAGGUAGAGGCACUGGAGAGAUGGUUCGUUGGUGAUGGGACAUAGUGUUCUCGCAAAGGACCCAAGUUCAGCUCACAGUAAAGCUCUGUAACUCCAGCUCUAGGGGGAUCUGACACCCCUAGCCUCUAUGGGAACCUGCACUCACAUGUACAGACACACACACAGACACACAAAAACACAAUUUUAAAACUUAAUUACGGGAGUGUAAGAGUUACUAUGCCUGGUUUUUGCAACAUUGGGGUUCAAACCCAGGGCUCUUUGAAUGCCAGGCAAACACUCUUAGCAACUGAGAUAUAGCCCUCACCCUCAACCAUGUCCAUGCUAAUCCCUCCCUCAACCCCACCCCAGCAGGCUGUUUUCCUGGCCAGAAAUCUUUCAUAGAUUCUCUAAUUGGUUUCUAGCACUCUGACUUUAUCUCCAACUCUCCCCACAUCACCUCACGUUUCAGCCAGCUGGUCUACUUGCAAUUCCCAGAAGCAGUUUUUCCCAUCUGUCAAACUUGCUCCUCCCUCUAGCUGGAAAAGCACCCUGCCUCCAUGUCUGCCUAGUGAGGGCAACUGAUUACUCCCAACCCCUCAUCCUGCCUCACCACUCCAGCCCUGCUGACCACACAUUAACCUUGGCUCAAUGCUUGUACGUUUUAUUUGCGUGCGUGACUUGCUUGCCUCCGCAGUGUUUCUCAAGUGCUUACGGUAGGCUGGAAAUAGGUACGAGAUUCUUGACAGGAGCUAUCUGAUUUGAUUCAGUCCUGGAAACAGCCAUGUGAGAUAGAUAUGACUCCCUCCAUUUUAUAGGACAAUUUGAGAUUGUCAGAGGUUAAUGAUCUUGAUUCCUUACUAAGUGCCAGAGUCAUCGCUCACUCAACACAUUUUAUCCCAAUCUGUGUCUGCUAGGAAAGGCCCCCUGGGCUUUUCAGUAUGGAUUGGGAACUCCCUCAGGGGCAAUUAACACAGCUGCCUCAGGACAAGGUAGGCCAUGCCAGAGGCAGUUUUUCUGUUCCCCUCCUUUGAUUCAGAUUUGUUGCACGAUGAAAAAAAAAAAAAAAAAAAAAGUUUGGGUCUCAGUCAGCAUUUAGCCUGGGCCAGCACAGGGCUAAAGAGGUGAUUCACGAGGGCAAACAUGAUCCAGGAUGUUUGGUUCCACUGGUGGCCCUGAUUAUUUGUAAAACUGGGCUGGGAGUGCCAAGCCCCGGCAUACAUCCAGCAGUUUCCACACCCAGUGCUCUGCCCCCUCAGAAAGACCUCAAGCCAAGCCUCCCUUCUUCCUGCUCCAACCUGGGGGGGAGGUCUCAGCUUUUAUAGAUAGUGUGUGACAGAAAUACUGUCACUAGGAUCAGCCUUGGCAUGACAGGAGGACCCGGCAUUAACACCCAACAGAGACACUUUCAUAGAAUCUCUUGAGAAAAGCCUAUCAAAAUCAAGAACUGGGAAGAGUCCAUCUCCCUCGCACUAGAUUUUCACCUUUUAGGGUU